rnacentral:rRNA from 1 species
GACGAACGCUAGCGGCAGGCUUAAUACAUGCAAGUCGAACGGGAAUUGGGUAGCAAUACCUGAUGAUAGUGGCGCACGGGUGCGUAACGCGUAUGCAACCUACCUUUAACAGGGGGAUAGCCCGGAGAAAUUCGGAUUAAUACCCCAUAGUAUUAUGGAGAGGCAUCUUUUCAUGAUUAAAGUUCCGGCGGUUAAAGAUGGGCAUGCGUGCCAUUAGCUAGUUGGUGAGGUAACGGCUCACCAAGGCGACGAUGGUUAGGGGUCCUGAGAGGGUUAUCCCCCACACUGGUACUGAGACACGGACCAGACUCCUACGGGAGGCAGCAGUAAGGAAUAUUGGUCAAUGGGCGGAAGCCUGAACCAGCCAUGCCGCGUGCAGGAAGACGGCCUUAUGGGUUGUAAACUGCUUUUGUCAGGGAAUAAACCCUCGUUUGCGAACGAGGCUGAAGGUACCUGAAGAAUAAGCAUCGGCUAACUCCGUG